AUGCAUGAGUUAACUAAGGAAAACAUUGAGCGUAUGAAUGCUAAAUAUAAACUUGCUGGAGAUAAGGGUAGAAAACCUGUUGUGUUUGCACCUGGAGAUCUUGUUUGGUUACAUUUGCGUAAGGAUAGAUUUCCUGAUUUGCGCAAAUCAAAGCUAAUGCCACGUGCUGAUGGUCCCUUUAAGGUGUUAGAGAAAAUAAAUGAUAAUGCAUAUAAACUUGAGCUGCCUGUAGAUUUUGGGGUUAGUCCCACUUUUAACAUUGCAGAUUUGAAGCCUUAUUUGGGUGAGGAAGAUGAACUUCCGUCGAGGACGACUUUGUUUCAAGAAGGGGAGGAUGAUGAGGACAUCAAUACAAUUGUUACACCCACAGCCCCUGCUGCUAUAAAUACUGGACCAAUUACUAGAGCUCGCGCAUGCCAACUAAAUUACCAGGUACUUUCGUUUCUUGGUAAUGAUUCUAAUGUUCAUGAGAAUAUGAUGCUGCCUAAAUUGGAUACAUUUGUUUUGUUUACAAAUGAAGGGCCUAGCUUGGAGAAGGAUGAACAUUGGAUUAAGAACAAGCAUGGAGAUGAUGGCAUGCGCAAGGGGAACAAGAACGGAGUUACAAGUGAUGAUUUCAGGACUUUGAAGCCACCAUAA
rnacentral:rRNA from 1 species